UAGAGUUUGAUCCUGGCUCAGAUUGAACGCUGGCGGCAUGCCUUACACAUGCAAGUCGAACGGCAGCACGGGGGCAACCCUGGUGGCGAGUGGCGAACGGGUGAGUAAUACAUCGGAACGUGUCCUGUAGUGGGGGAUAGCCCGGCGAAAGCCGGAUUAAUACCGCAUACGAUCUAUGGAUGAAAGCGGGGGAUCUUCGGACCUCGUGCUAUAGGGGCGGCCGAUGGCGGAUUAGCUAGUUGGUGGGGUAAAGGCUCACCAAGGCGACGAUCCGUAGCUGGUCUGAGAGGACGACCAGCCACACUGGGACUGAGACACGGCCCAGACUCCUACGGGAGGCAGCAGUGGGGAAUUUUGGACAAUGGGGGCAACCCUGAUCCAGCAAUGCCGCGUGUGUGAAGAAGGCCUUCGGGUUGUAAAGCACUUUUGUCCGGAAAGAAAUCCUAAUGGCUAAUAUCCGUUGGGGAUGACGGUACCGGAAGAAUAAGCACCGGCUAACUACGUGCCAGCAGCCGCGGUAAUACGUAGGGUGCGAGCGUUAAUCGGAAUUACUGGGCGUAAAGCGUGCGCAGGCGGUUCGCUAAGACCGAUGUGAAAUCCCCGGGCUUAACCUGGGAACUGCAUUGGUGACUGGCGGGCUAGAGUAUGGCAGAGGGGGGUAGAAUUCCACGUGUAGCAGUGAAAUGCGUAGAGAUGUGGAGGAAUACCGAUGGCGAAGGCAGCCCCCUGGGCCAAUACUGA
rnacentral:rRNA from 1 species